UGAGAACUUACUGAGGAAGUCGGGGCAGGAGUUCCAAGGAGAAAAGGGUCAAAAGACAAGAAGUGAUGGGAAUGGCAUCUUUCCCAUUGUGAGAGAGCCUGGCAGAGGGGCUGUACCCCCAUCUCAGAAGAGUGCAGCCAGUAUCUACUCAUCUCCGGGCUUCCUACCCAUUUAAACAGAAAGCUCAGUAUUCAGAGCUAAACAUCUGGCUUGACAGCAGGGAACACUCAGUUAAUGCAACUGAGAGAGAACAGAUGACUAAGUCCUAGAGCGAGAAGGGGACCCGGGGAACCUGAAAAAGAACAGCAAUUGAAAUUGAAUGAAAGAAACAGAGCCCGGGAAAGAGAUUUCAGAACAUGCUGCAAGACUGGAUACCUGGAUAUCUUAGACAUAAAUACUUGUGAAUUUUCUUUGUUGAACAGAAGAGGAUUAUUGGCUUUUUCUCUUCUCCCUCAUGCAUGAAGCCAUCUCUAGGUGGAGGUGUGUUUAUCAGCGAUUCUACAGCAGAAUGAAUUAAAUGUUGUCAAGAAAGAAUUACUGUUUGACAAAAAAAAAAUACAUGCUUCUCACUGUAACUGGGAUUUCUGGAUAUUGGACUCUGUAAGACUAACUGAACAUCUGGACAACUGAAAGCACCAGAGAAUUCAACCAGCCAGGAUGCAGCUGAACUAUAAUCACACACUAGAGUAACUGGUGCCUCAGGGAAUUUGUUGAAACUAGAAAACCAUUUGACAUAGGGGUGAGCAGUUUCUGCAUUCUUGGUCAGUGGAAUUUGUCCAUGAACCUGGAAUAACCUUGGUGUGGCUACUGUGGUGAUCUUACACAAUCAUUUUGUUGGAAACAAAUGUCUAGCCAUUGUUCUCAUAGAUGUAUUGAACCCAAUGUAGAUGUGUCUCACUGAAAUAUUAAAUUUUGUUUAGCAAUCUAAAUUGUGUUAGG
rnacentral:lncRNA from 1 species